rnacentral:rRNA from 1 species
GUGGGGAAUCUUGCGCAAUGGGCGAAAGCCUGACGCAGCCAUGCCGCGUGAAUGAUGAAGGUCUUAGGAUUGUCAAAUUCUUUCACCGGGGACGAUAAUGACGGAACCCGGAGAAGAAGCUCCGGCUAACUUCGUGCCAGCAGCCGCGGUAAUACGAAGGGGGCUAGCGUUGCUCGGAAUUACUGGGCGUAAAGGGCGCGUAGGCGGACAGCUUAGUCAGAGGUGAAAGCCCAGGGCUCAACCUUGGAAUUGCCUUUGAUACUGGCUGUCUUGAGUUUGGGAGAGGUGAGUGGAACUCCGAGUGUAGAGGUGAAAUUCGUAGAUAUUCGGAAGAACACCAGUGGCGAAGGCGACUCACUGGCCCAAUACUGACGCUGAGGCGCGAAAGCGUGGGGAGCAAACAGGAUUAGAAACCCUAGUAGUCC